GGAAGGUCCGGGCGUUAUCCGGAUUUAUUGGGUUUAAAGGGAGCGCAGGCGGACCUUUAAGUCAGCUGUGAAAUACGGCGGCUCAACCGUCGAACUGCAGUNGAUACUGGAGGUCUUGAGUGCACACAGGGAUGCUGGAAUUCAUGGUGUAGCGGUGAAAUGCUCAGAUAUCAUGAAGAACUCCGAUCGCGAAGGCAGGCAUCCGGGGUGCAACUGACGCUGAGGCUCGAAAGUGCGGGUAUCAAACAGGAUUAGAUACCCUGGUAGUCCGCACAGUAAACGAUGAAUACUCGCGGUUUGCGAUACAGUGUAAGCCGCCAAGCGAAAGCGUUAAGUAUUCCACCUGGGGAGU
rnacentral:rRNA from 1 species